rnacentral:ribozyme from 2 species
GCCGUAAUGCAGCCGCCGCGGCACGCGCCGCGGCGCCGGUCCCAAGCCCGGAGCGAAUGCAGAGGGGGGU